rnacentral:misc_RNA from 1 species
CUUAAUCCAUAGCCAUUUUGAUCAUAAAAGCUUCAUAGAUUAAUUUGCAUUUGUUUUUAUGAUCAAAAUGGCUAUGGAUUAAGCUACACCUUACAAAUGACAUUCUGACACAUCAGUAUCACAAAGAUUAUACAAACCAAAACCAACCUCAUAGGAAACUAUUUAUAUUACAAGCAGCAAUUACAGCAUUGAUAUGGGAAUACGUGCAUAUCAUUCCUAAUCACUUACAACUAAGGUGAAUGCAUGCCAUUAUACAGAGACUCAAUCCAGAAACCCUGUAGCAGGCAAUUUAAGAUUGGUCAAGGAGGUAAAAACUUAAGUUAGCUUGUUAGAAGCUGCUCCUACUGGAAAUGGUAAAUAUCUUCAUUUUCCAUGUCAGCCAGAGAAGUUGCUGCUCCUUCACUUGCCUCGACUAGUUCAGCUUUGGCUUGGUGAUAACGUUCAAGCAUCCGACGAUAUUGUUGACGUGCCUCUAGAGAAUCAACCAUUGACAGCACGCGUGAGACGGCCUCCUCAAUAGCUGCAUCAACUUUUUGUUUGCGGAACACCUUGAGAAUAUCUUCAUCUUCACUUUC